CGCCGAUAAGACCCUUUAAUAAGUUGCUUAUUCCCUAUAUUUUCCAUUCCAAAUUCUAAUUCCAAUUUAGCAAUUCCCAUUCCCAGUUAUUGAGUUAGGGCCUUAGGGAUUUAGGGCUUUAAGCUUUAGAAAACUCAGCGUCUCAGCGCCGCAGACCACAAUUCUCUAUUUCUCUUCUCAAAUUGCCACUGUAGUCCUCAGAAACUCAGGUGAGGUGAGGCGACGCCGCGAUGGAGGUAAUCGCUCCUUAUAAACUCAGGAGACAGCGAGUCUCGCUCCUCCGCGACGAGUCACGAAUUUACUGAUUCACUCUUGGAUUUUGCUCACUUUUUAGUGCUCAAACGAUUUCACUCUCCACCAGCUGCAUCUCUUACGUUUCUCAGUUUUGGGAAUUAAAACUCUGAUCAAGCGCUCAAGUUUCUCAUUCUCUUGAAUCGGUUGUUGUUUUUGGUUGUAUGUAGGUAUUAGGAGUGAAAUUGGGAAUUCGGAUAGGGCACAUUAUAUGGGAGGUGCUGUCCAAUUUUCGUUCGCCUUAGCUAAUUAAGGAACUAAUCGAGAAGGUGAAAGAGGGAUUGAGUGCUAUGAAUACUCAUGUGUUGCCUAAGGUCGUGGAAAGCCAAGGGUUGUUAAUAUUCAUGUUGAUUUUAUGAUACUUAGGUUCAAAUAAUGACAAGAUGAACGGGAUAAGAAGUAACCCGAAACAGGGUGCUGCAUUUCAUACCCGCAGGUACAGGUACAGGUUUUGGAAGUUCGUUAGCUUAGGUUUCCACUCAGCUCAGCUGGAAGAGGCUCUAUUGUAUCAGAGCUUAGUUUUUGGCACUGGCCGUUGAUGUAUAAGAUUGUUUUGUUAUUCAG